CACUGAACACAUGCAAGUCGAGCGGAUGAGUGGAGCUUGCUCUAUGAUUCAGCGGCGGACGGGUGAGUAAUGCCUAGGAAUCUGCCUGGUAGUGGGGGACAACGUUUCGAAAGGAGCGCUAAUACCGCAUACGUCCUACGGGAGAAAGCAGGGGACCUUCGGGCCUUGCGCUAUCAGAUGAGCCUAGGUCGGAUUAGCUAGUUGGUGAGGUAAUGGCUCACCAAGGCGACGAUCCGUAACUGGUCUGAGAGGAUGAUCAGUCACACUGGAACUGAGACACGGUCCAGACUCCUACGGGAGGCAGCAGUGGGGAAUAUUGGACAAUGGGCGAAAGCCUGAUCCAGCCAUGCCGCGUGUGUGAAGAAGGUCUUCGGAUUGUAAAGCACUUUAAGUUGGGAGGAAGGGCAGUAAGUUAAUACCUUGCUGUUUUGACGUUACCGACAGAAUAAGCACCGGCUAACUUCGUGCCAGCAGCCGCGGUAAUACGAAGGGUGCAAGCGUUAAUCGGAAUUACUGGGCGUAAAGCGCGCGUAGGUGGUUUGUUAAGUUGGAUGUGAAAGCCCCGGGCUCAACCUGGGAACUGCAUCCAAACACUGGCAAGCUAGAGUAUGGCAGAGGGUGGUGGAAUUUCCUGUGUAGCGGUGAAAUGCGUAGAUAUAGGAAGGAACACCAGUGGCGAAGGCGUACCACCUGGAGCUAUAUACUGACACUGA
rnacentral:rRNA from 1 species